CGGGACGGGUGAGUAACGCGUGGGUAACCUGCCUCAUACAGGGGGAUAACGGUUAGAAAUGACUGCUAAUACCGCAUAAGCGCACAGUACCGCAUGGUACGGUGUGAAAAACUCCGGUGGUAUGAGAUGGACCCGCGUCUGAUUAGCUAGUUGGUGAGGUAAUGGCCCACCAAGGCGACGAUCAGUAGCCGACCUGAGAGGGUGACCGGCCACAUUGGGACUGAGACACGGCCCAG
rnacentral:rRNA from 1 species